UUGAGCUUGAAAGAAGCACAUCUGUAUCUAAUGAGUCUAAUUAGAAAUUUAAAACCUGCAUUUUAAUAGCUUCGGGUGAGUAGAAGAGGACUUUAAUCAGAGGCUGUGUCUUUAUGUGUGCGUGGUGGGGAAGGAGAGAGAAAACAUGGCCCUGAGAAACCUCUCACUAAUAUAUUCCAGUUUUUUUAGGCAAGUGCACAAAAGCCCAUGAAAUUUCAGUUGUUCAGUAUUGUUCAGAUUUCUAGAGAUAAAUACUCUCAACACUCUUCCCUUAUCUUGAUUGGAAUGCAGGUGAAUGCCCAGAAUGGCUCUGGUUUGCCCGGCUUAGCUGUGGGACUUGGAUGGAAUGGAAAAUCUGUUUAGGAGAAGAACAGCAUUGGAGAAGCCUGCACUAGUGUUUCAGACCCUUUAAAUGAGUCAGCUGCCACUACAUCAUAACAGAAUACAGCCCCUCGGGUCCUCCUGUGCUCCAUUGACAUCAGCAGAGUUCCUUCUUUUCAUUGCAUGAAUUAAUUUCAAAAUCUAAGUCAAAAUAAAAAUUAAUUCACCUCUGCA